rnacentral:tRNA from 1 species
UCCCUGGUAGUUCAGUGGAUAGAACUCAGUGCUUUCACUGCUGAGGAUGUGGGUUCAAUCCCUAGUUAGGGAA